AAAAGUUAUGAAGAGGGCAGGGACAGGGAAGCUGGUCAGAGUUGAUGGGAAGAUGGAUGGAGCCAAAUACAGGGCAAUCUUGGAAGAAAACCUGUUAGAUUCUGCAAAAGACUUAAGACUGAGGCGGAGGUUCACCUUCCAGCAGGACAACGACCCUAAACAUACAGCCAGAGCUACAAUGGAAUGGUUUAGAUCAAAGUAUAUUCAUGUGUUAGAUUGGCCCAGUCAAAGUCCAGACCUAAAUC